rnacentral:rRNA from 1 species
AUUGAACGCUGGCGGCAGGCCUAACACAUGCAAGUCGAGCGGAGCGGCGGACGGGUGAGUAAUGCCUAGGAAUGUGCCUGGUAGUGGGGGAUAACGUCCGGAAACGGGCGCUAAUACCGCAUACUAUCAGAUGAGCCUAGGUCGGAUUAGCUAGUUGGUGGGGUAAAGGCCUACCAAGGCGACGACCCGUAACUGGUCUGAGCGGAUGAUCAGUCACCCUGGAACUGAGACACGGCCCAGACUCCUACGGGAGGCAGCAGUGGGGAAUAUUGCACAAGUGGAUGAAGCCUGAUCCAGCCAAGCCGAGUGUGUUAAGAAGGGCUUCGGAUUGGAAAGUACUUUAAGUUGGGAGGCGUUACCAACAGAAUAAGCACCGGCUAACUCCGUGCCAGCAGCCGCGGUAAUUC